rnacentral:rRNA from 1 species
GACGAACGCUGGCGGCGUGCCUAAUACAUGCAAGUAGAACGCUGAAGGAGGAGCUUGCUUCUCUGGAUGAGUUGCGAACGGGUGAGUAACGCGUAGGUAACCUGCCUGGUAGCGGGGGAUAACUAUUGGAAACGAUAGCUAAUACCGCAUAAGAGUAGAUGUUGCAUGACAUUUGCUUAAAAGGUGCAAUUGCAUCACUACCAGAUGGACCUGCGUUGUAUUAGCUAGUUGGUGAGGUAACGGCUCACCAAGGCAACGAUACAUAGCCGACCUGAGAGGGUGAUCGGCCACACUGGGACUGAGACACGGCCCAGACUCCUACGGGAGGCAGCAGUAGGGAAUCUUCGGCAAUGGACGGAAGUCUGACCGAGCAACGCCGCGUGAGUGAAGAA